GCAGUCGACGGUGACACGGAGCUUGCUCUGUGGGAUCAGUGGCGAACGGGUGAGUAACACGUGAGCAACCUGCCCCUGACUCUGGGAUAAGCGCUGGAAACGGCGUCUAAUACUGGAUAUGUGACGUGACCGCAUGGUCUGCGUCUGGAAAGAAUUUCGGUUGGGGAUGGGCUCGCGGCCUAUCAGCUUGUUGGUGAGGUAAUGGCUCACCAAGGCGUCGACGGGUAGCCGGCCUGAGAGGGUGACCGGCCACACUGGGACUGAGACACGGCCCAGACUCCUACGGGAGGCAGCAGUGGGGAAUAUUGCACAAUGGGCGCAAGCCUGAUGCAGCAACGCCGCGUGAGGGACGACGGCCUUCGGGUUGUAAACCUCUUUUAGCAGGGAAGAAGCGAAAGUGACGGUACCUGCAGAAAAAGCGCCGGCUAACUACGUGCCAGCAGCCGCGGUAAUACGUAGGGCGCAAGCGUUAUCCGGAAUUAUUGGGCGUAAAGAGCUCGUAGGCGGUUUGUCGCGUCUGCUGUGAAAUCCGGAGGCUCAACCUCCGGCCUGCAGUGGGUACGGGCAGACUAGAGUGCGGUAGGGGAGAUUGGAAUUCCUGGUGUAGCGGUGGAAUGCGCAGAUAUCAGGAGGAACACCGAUGGCGAAGGCAGAUCUCUGGGCCGUAACUGACGCUGAGG
rnacentral:rRNA from 1 species